GAGUUACUACGUUGCAUUCCUGAGAACUUAUCGUAAGACUUCUUCCCUGCAAAUCUUGGCGCUGUCAGUGACGAGCACGGUGAAAAAUUCCACCUGGACAUUACGGGCAUGGAGAAACGCUAACUUUAACUGUCCAACCCUAAGUACUGGAGCCUGGGCUGAUCCAUGGCAUCCCUGUGGAAUUAAAUAAAAUCUACUCAACAACCUGUAUUGAAUGUAAUGACUAUUUUUUUUAUUAUGAAGAAUUCUCAAGAAGAAACAGAUGCAAAGUUAUUUCUAUAAUCUAUUCUUUUGC